AUCUACCCAUAUGUCAUUCGGUCCAAUAGCACGAAUAAUGUGCCAGUUACGUAUUUUUGAGUAAAAAGCCCGGUUCUGCUGUACGGAGGGAUAAUCCACUUAACAGGAUAUUCUGUGGGAGUAUCCCUCUUGUACACAAGUGCAUGGUGGGAAAAAUGUCCUGUAUGUUUAGUCCCCCAUGUAGUCCCCUACUGUAAUACCCCUGUAAAGUGAUUAAGGAAACCCCUUGCAUGGGGAACCAAAUAAAUACUGGAG